UUUUAGUAUUUAUUUUAACAUUAAUCUAUAUGUAAAUUUUUGUGUUUUUAAACUCUAAAAGAGUUAAAAUGUAUGUGUUAGCAGUAGAUAAUAUUAUUGAUAUUAAGUAAAUUUAGAUUUGGUGAAUGUUAAUUAGGAUUGGUUAAAGCUGUGCCAGCAUCCGCGGUUAUACAGCGAAUUCAAGUGAAUAUUUUUGGUUUUGAAGUAAUUAUUAUUAAAAUUGUUAAUCAGUGAAGGCAUUUUUAGGUGAAAUACAUAAAUUGCUUUUGAAGUUAAGAGGUUAGUAAGAUUUUAUGAAAUUAAACUUAUAAACUAGGAUUAGAUACCCUAUUAUUUUUAAUGUGAAAAGAUAAAGCCUGAGUAUUAUUAGAUAUGAUCUUGAAACUUAAAGAAUUUGGCGGUAUUAUAGUCUAUUUAGAGGAAUCUGUUAUGUAAUCGAUAGUCCACGUUGAACCUUACUUAUAUUAAUUCUUGUAUACCGCUGUUUAAUGAAUAUACUUUUAGGUUAUUUUCUGGAAAAAUAAGUAAUUAGAAUUUCAAGUCAAGGUGCAGUUAUAUGUAAGAUAAAUAAUGGAUUACAAUAAAUUUUAUUUAAUAUGAAUAAUUAUUGUAAUAAUAAUUUGAAGGUGGAUUUAAUUGUAAUUUUUUGAAGAUUGUUUAUAUGAUUUAUAGCUCUAUAAUAUGCACACAUCGCCCGUCGCUCUCGUUAUUAAGAUGAGAUAAGUCGUAACAAAGUAGGUGUAUCGGAAGGUGUACCUAGAAAUAUAAUAAU
rnacentral:ncRNA from 1 species